rnacentral:rRNA from 1 species
UACGAAGGGGGCUAGCGUUGUUCGGAAUUACUGGGCGUAAAGCGCGCGUAGGCGGUAGCACAAGUCAGUUGUGAAAUCUCCGGGCUUAACUCGGAAAGGUCAACUGAUACUGUGCGACUAGAGUGCAGAAGGGGCAACUGGAAUUCUCGGUGUAGCGGUGAAAUGCGUAGAUAUCGAGAGGAACACCUGCGGCGAAGGCGGGUUGCUGGGCUGACACUGACGCUGAGGCGCGAAAGCCAGGGGAGCGAACGGG